rnacentral:rRNA from 1 species
UACGUAUGAGGCGAGCGUUGUUCGGAAUUAUUGGGCAUAAAGGGCGUGUAGGCGGGGAAUUAAGUUAGGUGUGAAAGCCACGGGCUCAACCCGUGAAUUGCACCUAAUACUGGUUCUCUUGAGUUCGGGAGAGGAGAGCGGAAUUCCAGGUGUAGCGGUGAAAUGCGUAGAUAUCUGGAAGAACACCAGUGGCGAAGGCGGCUCUCUGGCCUAGGACUGACGCUAAGGCGCGAAAGCGUGGGGAGCGAACGGGAUUAGAUACCCCGGUAGUCCACGCCGUAAACGUUGUAUACUAGGUGUAGGUGGUUUUGCCACCUGUGCCGACGCAAAUGCAUUAAGUAUACCGCCUGGGGAGUACGUCCGCAAGGAUGAAACUCAAAGAAAUUGACGGGGGCCCGCACAAGCGGUGGAGCAUGUGGUUUAAUUCGAUGAUACGCGAAAAACCUUACCUGGGCUUGAACUGUGCAUGACAGGUGUAGAGAUACACCCUCCUUCGGGCAUGUACAGAGGUGCUGCAUGGCU